rnacentral:rRNA from 1 species
GACGAACGUUGGCGGCGUGCUUAAUACAUGCAAGUCAACUGAAGCAGUGGUAGCAAUAUCGCUGUGGAGGUGGCGCACGGGUGAGUAACACGUAGGUAAUCUGCCUUCAGGUCUGGCAUAACUCCGGGAAACCGGGGCUAAUAGCAGAUGAUGCAGCGGCUCGACAUCGAGACAGUUGUUAAAGCUAUGGCGCCUGAAGAUGAGCCUGCGUCUGAUUAGCUAGUUGGCGGGGUAACGGCCCACCAAGGCAACGAUCAGUAGCUGGUCUGAGAGGAUGAUCAGCCACACUGGAACUGAGACAAGGUCCAGACUCCUACGGGAGGCAGCAGUAAGGAAUAUUGCUCAAUGGGAGAAAUCCUGAAGCAGCAACGCCGCGUGAGGGACGAAGGGCUUUUGCUUGUAAACCUCUGUAGUGAGAGAAAAAAAUCCCAAUCUUUGGGACAUGAUGGUAUCUCAAAAGUAAGCCCCGGCUAACUACGUG